CAGUCGCCGCGGUAAUACGGAGGGUGCAAGCGUUAUCCGGAUUUAUUGGGUUUAAAGGGUCCGUAGGCGGAUCUGUAAGUCAGUGGUGAAAUCUCACAGCUUAACUGUGAAACUGCCAUUGAUACUGCAGGUCUUGAGUAAAUUUGAAGUGGCUGGAAUAAGUAGUGUAGCGGUGAAAUGCAUAGAUAUUACUUAGAACACCAAUUGCGAAGGCAGGUCACUAAGAUUUAACUGACGCUGAUGGACGAAAGCGUGGGGAGCGAACAGGAUUAGAUACCCCCGUAGUCCUUGUCUCUUAUAC
rnacentral:rRNA from 1 species